UACGGGGGGGGGCAAGCGUUGUUCGGAAUUACUGGGCGUAAAGGGCUCGUAGGCGGCCAACUAAGUCAGACGUGAAAUCCCUCGGCUUAACCGGGGAACUGCGUCUGAUACUGGUUGGCUUGAGUGUGGGAGAGGGAUGCGGAAUUCCAGGUGUAGCGGUGAAAUGCGUAGAUAUCUGGAGGAACACCGGUGGCGAAGGCGGCAUCCUGGACCAUUACUGACGCUGAGGAGACGAAAGGCCAGGGGAGACAAAGCAGGG
rnacentral:rRNA from 1 species